rnacentral:tRNA from 1 species
CGCCUUUGGUGACGUUGCCGUGGGGGUCCUUGUCGUGGACUUCCCAGAUGGAGCUCCAGCUGCCGACGUCGUUCCAGCCGGCGGAGAGCGGC